GAAAUCAAAGAAAACCAAAAAAAUUUCAAAAAAUCCAGAAAAGAAACCCAGCAUGAGAAAUGCAGCGUGAGUUCAGCAAUGAUUGUAUGUGAAAAAAUGGAGGAAGAGCAUUGUUCAGCCCGGAAAUCCACUUCCUUGAACGGUCCUCUGUACAUUCAAUGCCAAGAUGCAACUUAAAAGGAGCAGACUCUGUCUCUUGUAUGAGAUUUAUUAGUAAAAUGAAUAUUUCUGCUUGUGUAGUGUGACAGCACUUUCCUUAUCAACAGAACAAAUACUGCACAGGCAACAACCAGGCAAACUCCCCACACCUCGUCCUACCAAAAGGCUACAGUUUAGACAUGGAGGGAGGACAGUUACGUAGUGAAAGGCUAGUCCUUUCUCCAUGCCUGUGGAGAUGAAAUAUUUGCAUGAUAAAAAAGGGUCCCCUGGGACAAAGAAAAUCCCAGUGCAUCAGUAUCUUGUGAGAUUACCACUGGAACACAUUGCCAUCCAUGAGUUUGAGUCCUUGCCUGAGACAAGGCAAAGUGUAGCAGCGCAUCUGUGGAUUCUUAAACUCUCACAAAAUUCACAGCAGGCAGGCACACCCACCCACCCACUGCUGGACUGGUUUAAUAUGACUCAAGGGCCCUUAUUGGAAGGGCAGAAUGGUUUUCAAUUGCAGUCGCUCAAUCGAGUUAGCUUAGCAUGCUUGAAAAGCUCCCUCAGGACAUCGGCUAACAUGUAUGAAGCCAUGCUUUAGCCUAGGAGAAAGGUUAGGUUCAUUUGGCUAACCCCGCAGAACCACACCUGGGGGAUGGGGAGCAGUAUAAUUCAUUCCAUUUCACGUCCAUAUAAAUGGCAAAGAAUAGGAGUAUAGCUUCUAUCCCUGGGGAAGCCUGCUGAGCACUCUGAUGCUGUCAGGGCAGGGUGUGUGUGGGGACCCUGAGAAGCAUUCAAUCCCCAUUGUAAGAACAGAAUCUCUGAUAUGGGGAUUAUUAUGGGGCAGUCAGAGGGGCUCAAUGCACCUGCAGUCUCUCAUCCAUGACCACCCAAUUAUAGUCAUUCUCCCCCCCUCACCCCCCAUACCUGUCCACCUCCAUUCAUGUCUCUCGGCUUCAGUAAUGUCAGCCUUUCGCUGGGCUGUUGGACUUUCUGUUGUUUGUCAGACCAGCCAACUGCAGGACAUUGACUGGAUGAGAGCACCACCUCCAAAGCAUCAAAAGGUGGGCGGUGGAAGGAGAAGGCAGAUUUGCAGUCAGAGCUCUCUGAUAUGCAGAGACACCUGUAAGGCAUAAGGAGAGAAGCUGGGGAUGUUUGGCACCGACACUCUCCAGCCUUUUGUCUGGUGAAUACUGAAACAGUGUUAGCACAAUUAUGUUAUCAGCCAUUUAUUUUCAGUAGCCUGAUAGAUGGAAAUUCAGUUACAGUUGAUGACCUGACAGUAUGAAAAACUAAAUCAAUUACUGUAGGGUUGUUGUCUGGGCAUAUAACUUUUGCAGUUUAGUUUGAUCUAUUUUUUUUUAAGAGUGAAAAUUGAAUUGCUAUACAAAUUUAAAACAGUAUUAAUGAUUGAUGUCUGAAUUGUAGUACCCCAGAGCGUAAGACAACAGAGUGUGAUAAUGAAGGCUAGAAAAACAUUCAAAGACAGACUGUCUUUUCCAUUAAAGGAUGAAGAGUGGAAUUUCUAAUGCCAGCACACAAAAUAUUCAGUGUAAUUUGGAUUAGGUUUUUGUAUCUCUUAACUCAAAUGUUUCUCUUUCUGCUCUUUGUUCUGGCAAUACGGUAAUUUUUUGACAGCUGCUAACAUUAAUGCUCAUUUGUAUUGUGUAUUGUCUGUAAAUCUGUAUGUUGUUUUAAAGCUAUUUCCUGAAUAACACUUUUCUGUAAUAAUUGUAUUGCAAACUAGAUGCGCUAUGCUGCCUUUGUUUUUCCUUAAUAGUAAUUUAAAAUGUGCAAGAAGAAAUGUGGUAUCUCUAAACUAGGGCUUGGGCUAACAUCCACUCCCAUUGAUGCCAACAGGUUUUGGAUCAGACCGUUAGGACUUUAGAUGAGAGAAGGUUCUAUUUCUUUCUUCCUAGGGAAAGUUGCUGGAUGGAGCAGGAAUGCCUUAAAAGUUUUUUGGUUUUUGUUUCCACAUCAGUUUUUCUUGAAUCUCUUUCAUUGCCAUAAAGGCUUAUAGAAUGGCUCAAUAGAUAAACAUUUGGAUUACCAUCUAUAAAAGAAAUUUAGGGUCUUGGAACAUCUAAGCAUUGCUCUCAACAUCAAGGCAAAGGGAAGGGAAGGAGGCAGAAGCAGAUUCCAUGCUUACCUAUGCUGAGCAUUCCAUUUAGAGCAUUGUUGCAGAUUUGGAAGAAGGUUCCAUCUGUGAAUGUGAGCUGAUGACCUUCCAAUGACUGAAACUCAGCUAACUCUGCCUCAGCAGCACUGCUGAUAAAUCGUUCUUCAAUACCUUACUAAAAUCUAUUUUAUCAAAGUGACAGGGACAUUUUAAGUAGAUAUAAUGUAAUUACCUGGGACCACGUGGCACUGGAGUUGCCAAUUUUGAUUGGACGUACUCCUGGAGGUUUCAUCACAUGACAAUUUUUAAUUAAAGAUUAUUUUUUAAUUUCUGGAAACCAGGGCAGUCCUGGAGCGUUGGCAACCUAUGUAGCACCAUCAAUUUUUAACGAGAAAUGCCACAUGGAUUUUAGUGGGGAGUUCUGUUGGGAGGGGGAAUAAUCAAUGGCAGAGUAUGGCCACUGAACUGGACGAUUAUCAAGAUACUAUAGCUAACAGUGGAUUUCCUGUGAAAACUAAUGGCAUUUUAAUGGCCACAGGUUAUCAGGACCUUGAUUAUAGCCACUAUUAAAGCAAUGGCAUUCGCGAGUACUGUAAUGCUUGUGAUGCUGAGACAUGAAACCUGUGUAAUUCUUUGCAGCUAUUUAGAAUUGCAAGGUUUUUAGCCAAAAUAAUAAUAAUAAUAAUAAUAAGAGAGAGAGGUUUUUUUCUUAUAUUCUGGCAAAAUUCCAGAGAGCUGAUUAUGUUCUACUGACCUACACAGUAUCCCUCCAUAUUCUGUUGAAUGUGUUAUUCUUCUCAUUCUGUUUGGAAUGGUUGUGUAAGGUUGCUGUCUCCUCCUAAAUAGCUGCCAGCUUCCCACCCAGAGGUGGAUGCACUUCACUGGUGGGUGAAUGGAUCCCUGUAUGUUUAGAUGGCAAGCCCUGUAAAUCAGUAAAGCCCUGGUCUUACAAAAGUUGUCCUCCAAGCCAGACACAUGCCUGUGCUGAGUCCCAAUUUUAUAAUAUUACAUCUUACUUCCCUUGGGUCUCAGUGCCAGAGAGCUUUUUAUUUAUUUAUUUUUGGCAGGGGAAGGAAGAGAAGGUGCUGUGUAAGUGUCACUCAGUAUCACUCUUCUUUCAUUGUAGAUGCCAAUGUGGUCAGAGCUGACUAUCAUCCUACUUUGUGGCCCUGGACCCUCCCCAACCAAAAGGCCCUCCUGCACCCACCCAGACAACAAAGUGAGUUCAGCUCAGGCAGGUUUUCUAUCUACAGCUGAUACCGACACUGUAGGGAAUGCUAAGAAGGGGUUAGUAAACAGGUCUUGCAGGUCACAAUUUUUGAAAACAUUGACAUCCCUCAUGCACAUGACAACAUUCUGUCUUGGGAUUUAUACUGCUGCCUGCCAUGAGAGCGUCUGAGUGCUUUCCAUAUAAACUCAAAUGCAAUAGGGAAGUCCCUAAUGGACUUCAUGGAGGCUCUGGCUCUUCUGUGUGUUUGGUGCAUAACCUCUUGUUGGGUGGGGUUGUUUUGGUUUUAGGUUGGUUUCAGGGUUUUGGUUUUUACAGAUGGGGAAGCAUUUGGGUAGAUGGAGAAGUUAGUGUUGUGCCAUUCUGACUGCCGUGCAAUCAGCACUGCAUGCCAUAAACACGGGGAACUUGAGAUUUGUAUCCAACACCCUGGAAGGGUCUGAAUUUGCUUUCCUGUGCUUCCCCCAGAAGAGAAAGAAGCCCUGUCUGUAAAUUCUGUUUCUCUGCAGGUGUUUGGGGGGAAGGUGUAAUAUCUUGUGCGUUAAUAUCAGUGCACUUGCUGGGUCUCAGCCAGGCCCACUCUUUGCAGAAUCCUUGGUUCCUCUCUGCCCUUCCCUUGAGCACAGUGGUAAGAGGACAGGGCACUGGGAGUCUCUCUCCAUGCUGAGGCACUCAGCACUGUGGCAGAAGAGGAGGAGGUCUCUGUUCCAGCUUUCGGGGUUGUGAGGGUGGCUCUAGGCCCUCCAGUAAUGCUGAUCCCUAGGACUUGCCACGCGAAGGAAAGCCAUUUGACAGUGCAGGACUCUUGGUGCCGUUGCCCCUGUACUUCCCCCUACAGUGUCCCUUUCUUGGGGAGGAACUCAGCAGAGGUUCUUUUUCAGAUCUAGAGGAGCUACUUGAGUUCCUGGUCCGGGCCGCCAGAGUUGGGAUGGGCUUUGAGGCUACUCUGAGCAGCUUACAGAACAAGGGAGCUGCAGCUUUCCAGGUGUCAUGUUCCCCUAGCCUGCAGCAGGGUUCUAAGCCUGGAGCAGUUUCUUGCAGAGUUGCUUUCUGUGCCAUCUGUUCUUUAGCUCUUACACUCUGCAGCCAUGAGGGGAGGGGGGGAAGAGGGGCAUCCCCAUCAGCUUCCAGAUGGGGAGUCAGGAGCUGCAACUCAGGGAGGAGAGAAGGAUUCCAGGCCUGGAGGAAGUCCUGAGAACAGCCUGGGUACGAGCCUGCUUUCUAGGAAGAGGAUCUGGGUGUAAGCGUCUAAGCUACAGAGAUCCCUCCCUCAGAUAGUCCAGACUAGCUCCAGCUCUUCAGCAUAGCAGAGACGGGAUCUCCUGUUACUCAGGGUACAGUGAAAACACAGACUCUUCAGAGUGAAGGAACUAAAACCAACAAUUCCAAACAGUUCCCCGGCCUCUUGGGAAGCAGCAUAGACAGGAAAGAGAAUUUCUCUCAGCUCCAGAAGCAGCCUGGAAUCACACUGGCUCUUUCCCUUUCUGGUGUGCAUUAGCAGAGCUGCAUUACCUCUCUCCCUGCAGGGAUCCAAGCCAGACUUAACCCCAUUACAGAAGGAAAAAGGAUGCAAAGUGGUUCUGCAGAUACCCUACCCAGGCUUCCCACUGUCACUCAGCAAGAGCUUCGCAUGAGAAAGCAAAAUAUGAUCUCCAUGGAAACCCAGACACCACCAACAGCAAAUAUCAGCCAGACAUCCUUGAAGAGGCAGUUCAAUGCCACUGGAAGAAGACUAUCUAAGGAGGAAGCAACAUACAUCCACCCUCCUUGUGUAGCCAUUGAGGAUUGUAUUUAACAAUUAAUAAAACUCUGGGACUCUG